AUUGAACGCUGGCGGCAGGCCUAACACAUGCAAGUCGAGCGGAUGAAGGGAGCUUGCUCCUGGAUUCAGCGGCGGACGGGUGAGUAAUGCCUAGGAAUCUGCCUGGUAGUGGGGGAUAACGUCCGGAAACGGGCGCUAAUACCGCAUACGUCCUGAGGGAGAAAGAGGGGGAGCUUCGGACCUCACGCUAUCAGAUGAGCCUAGGUCGGAUUAGCUAGUUGGUGGGGUAAGGGCCUACCAAGGCGACGAUCCGUAACUGGUCUGAGAGGAUGAUCAGUCACUCUGGAACUGAGACACGGCCCAGACUCCUACGGGAGGCAGCAGUGGGGAAUAUUGGCCAAUGUGCGAAAGCCUGAUCCAGCCAUGCCGCGUGUGUGAAGAAGGUCUUCGGAUUGUAAAGCACUUUAAGUUGGGAGGAAGGGCAGUAAGUUAAUACCUUGCUGUUUUGACGUUACCAACAGAAUAAGCACCGGCUAACUUCGU
rnacentral:rRNA from 1 species